rnacentral:lncRNA from 1 species
AGGAGAACCUCCGAGCGCAGGAGUGCAAAGGCUGGCAUUCUUCAGGCUCUGAGGCUGUCCCUUCCGGUGGAGGUGAACUGCUUCUUAUUGAUGUGGACAAGACUGUGGAUGGAGACUGACAGGAUCCUGGCUUGGGGGCCUUCCGGCAGGGCUGGCUGCUGGGCUGGCAGGCUCUGGCGCUCCCCUUCCCCAGAACUGACUUUGUUCCUGGCAGCCAUGGUGGCUGCACUAACCACAUUCUGCCUCCACCUUUGCACUAAGAAAAGCAAAUAAGCAGACCACAGAACUGUUUGCAUUUGCCCCAGAUGCUCCCUGGCUGCGGGAAGAGAUAAAGUUUGCUGACCCCUAGAGAGGAAGUCAUGGCCCAUGGCUGGCAGAUGGAAGCCUCAGGACCUGAAGAUUUCUCAAAGAAAGGGACCUGCUGCUGACAGCAAUUAAUAUAUGUUCACAGCUUGCAGCUGAAGCCUGAUGAUGGCUGUAGGAGAAAGGACAUCACCCAGAUGACAUUUUGCCUCCAAAGCUCUGGGGACCAAUUGUGGAAGAACUGCAGGGAUAUUAUGUUAGAAUGUUCUUGUGUCUGGAUAGGAUGAGAACUGUCUUAUAACAAAGUGCAGCCCCCAUGUCUGAGGGCAUGUUUCCUGUGUUUAGGCACUUCCGAAGCAGGGAGCACCUUCAAGGGGCACUGGCCUUCCCAGAAACAGUGUUUGACCUGUGAUGAUGUCCUGGGGGAGGGGACCUAGGAAAAGACCUUAGCCUUUCCAUAAGGCACGAUUAUUCUCCUCUAUAGAGCCUCAAAAGUCAAGUCAAGUAGCAAGCACACUGUGCUCCAGUCUGUGGCCACAGACACACACAAGGACUGGAGCAAAACCAAACAUAGUGUAUCAUCACCGCUGAACCCCCAGGAGCCCCCAGAUGCUUUUGAACGUGAAAGGAGAAAGAAGCUGUCAGAGAUCAGGUUGAAUGUGGUGGGUUAGGUGUGCGGCAUUGCCUCUGGGUCCCUGCUUUGGUUUAAUUAAACUAAGUCUGGUGGUGAAUUGGUUCCCAAAUGUUCAUUGGUGGAUGGGCGGCAUCAGAAUUGUCUACAUCUUUUAAAAAACACGUACGCAAAACCUAUGCAUGUCUUCCUCUGAGAGUUUGAUUUUCAGCAGGCUUGGGGUGGAUUCCUACUUUUAAGAACUCCCCACGCCCGUCCUAAGUGAUUGUGAUUCCCAGUAAGUGAAUGCUGACAAAUUGAACCUUCCAGCAUGGACAUUUAUUUAUGAAAUAAAUGGACAUUAAUUUCACAGUCUUUCUAUGGAUUCGAGGUGGUGCUGGAUCCACAGGCUCACCUGGCCCCCUAGCUUUCUCUGCAGAAUCUGCCAGUGUGCCUUCAAUCCCAAAAGAAGUCGCUUUUCAUGUGCUGCUGGAGCUUUUGAUUGGCGGUGACUGAGAUGGGACUUUAAGUUCUCACCAGGAUGCAAAGUGGGGUUCCAACUUUACUGCUUUCUGAACCCUGCUGAUCUGUCCCCAACCAAGGCUUGAUUUUCUUCUGAAGCGCAGUAUUUUUAAACUGUGGUUGAAAUCUAUUCAUGGGCUAUAAAAUCAGUUGUUGAGGAUGUAACCAUUUUGAAUUAAUUUUUAAUUCAAAAAAUUAGACUAGAAAUUUUUAAUUUUAAUUCAAAAAAUAGACUAGAAAAAAAUCAGAGUGCAUCAUGUAUGGUAGGGAUAAGUGUAAUUCUUUCUGUAAAACUUGUUUUGGAGGGUAUGUUGUGCAUUGGGCUUCUGUGUAUUUCUUACUACGUUUCACAGGGAAACUGCUGUCAUCUCUGCAGUACAAUAUAGAUCAACAAUGGCCCUAACUUCCCUAAGACAGCUCUCAUGUCUGCUUGCAGAGAACAGAUGGAAAAAGUCACCAGGGAGGGUAGAUUGCCAUAUACAAGUACUUCAGGGAGGCUACCUGGAAACUAAUAGAAAACCAGUUUAUGGAUGAUUGCAGAGCCUGGGGAGAGAAAUCAAUCUUGGACAGUUUUAUGGAUGGCAGCCAACAGCCUACCAUGCUCAGCCCAUCGCACCUGUCACCUGGGGACAAGCAGGGUCUAUCUGGAACGGACUCUGGCCAGGAUUCAGUUUCUCUUUCCUCGAAAUGGGGAUAAUCACCCUCUUGACUAUUGCUGUUAUGGGAAAGGCCAAAUUAGGGGAAAAAAAUUCUGUCCAAUAAGGGAUGAACCACAAAGCUCAGGCCAGUAAUGGCCUCUAUUGGUGGUUUGGGAGGUAUGCUUGUAUGGGCAUUAAGGGAGAAAGAGAAGGUCUGCACUCUAAUCAAGUCUAGGCAAUGUGGGAGUUGGAAAGAGACACAUGGGAACACAGACCCAGUCACCUGAAGGCAAGAGCCUUUCUUUUUCCUCCUCUUGGCAGGCAGCGUGGGCUCCCGGGCCCCAAGCAGGAUCCCUUAGGGCUGAUCUCUUACCACACACUGGUCUGACUUGGUGACCUGGAAGAGGACAGUCAGAGCCAACAGGAUGAGGGGACCAGCUUGGAGAGCAUCUAUUGUAUGCCACCCUUGAGUGGCUGGAAAUGUCUUCUGCCACUUUGCAAGGGGCUGGGGGCUGGGGAGUGGGAGUGGCAAGGGAACACGGGGUGGUAGAUUGUUCCCAGGGCUGCUGGUUUUGGAGCAGUCUGACUACCCUCUCUUCUUAGUGGGAAAGAAAGGAGGAAGAAGGGGGAAGGGAUGCUUUUGGAGGGGAGCUCUAAGGGUGGGAGAAAAGAAAGCCUGAAAGAACAUCACUAAAGGGUCUGAAGUUAAAGACUCCAAUGAACAAGAAGCCCCUAAUUCAAACAGUGCCACUAACACCAAAACCUGUAAAGUGGUCCAGAGAGACCCUGGUCAUGUCUGUAACUUUCCUUUUUAAAGCUCUCGUGAAGUUAAUGAAUGAAAAAAUUGCUAAUGCAAAGAUGGAAAUUAAUAAAAACAAAAGCGUGCUUCAUAUUGCAGGGUGACCACCUCUAAUCCUACCAGUGAUCCUGUGGCUGUCCCUGUAACUUCCUUUGGCAACACCAUGCUUUGAGAAGCUGUGGGGAAGGCUGGCCAGGGAGAGAGCCUCACCCCCCAAUUCUG